CUUACUGGAGGCUACAAUUAACAUGCAUCAUAGGUCAUACACAUUACUUUGUCUUCAGGUACUGCACUUACGGGAGGAGAUGGCUACAUCUUCACAAUAAUUUACACUGCCAUAGUACACUGCUAAACAGUACUGUAACAUGGAUUUGUAUUAGGCUAUGAAGUCAUUUAAAGCAUAACUUUACUUUUCAGGGGGACAUGCUCUCUAUCAGGAGGUGGUGGUUGGACAGCUGUUGGAGACCUUUAUACUUGAAAGGUUUAUAUACUGUGUCCAUGUUGCUAUUUACUUAUUUUUGGUGCUCACGAAGAUCGUAGCCAAUACACUUGUCUCUCUGUCUCUAGCCCUGCAGAACUAGCUGGCUCCUUCUCACCCUCUCCAUCUCCCCAUCUCAGUCACACCUUCCAAUCACUAAGCAGUGAAAGCCCUGCAGGACUAGCUGGCACACCAAGCUCACCCUCUGCAUCUCCCCAUCUCAGCCACACGCUCCAAUCUGGCACAACAGAGGACAGGCCAUUCUUACCACCCGAAGUCCUUCAGCAAAUUGUACAAGAGACGCUGAGACUGGACAUGGCGAUGCUUGGCGUGUUCAACAGGGUUUCAAACACAUUCCGAGAACUAAUCAAGCCUCUCCAUCCUUCCAUAUAUAUAAAUGACAGUUUGGCAGGGGACAUUAAGCUUAAUAAAGACAAUCUCAUAUACAUAACGGUUAGAAAGAUUUACAACAAUGCAGGCUGUGGCAGUGGCCUUGCGCUACGCCUCAAA